UGGGGAAUAUUGCGCAAUGGGGGAAACCCUGACGCAGCAACGCCGCGUGCGGGAUGAAGGCCUUCGGGUUGUAAACCGCUUUCAGCAGGGAAGACAUCGACGGUACCUGCAGAAGAAGCCCCGGCUAACUACGUGCCAGCAGCCGCGGUAAUACGUAGGGGGCGAGCGUUAUCCGGAUUUAUUGGGUUUAAAGGGUGCGCAGGUGGUCCUGCAAGUCAGUGGUGAAAAGCUGAGGCUCAACCUCAGCCUUGCCGUUGAAACUGCAAGACUUGAGAGUACAUGAUGUGGGCGGAAUGCGUAGUGUAGCGGUGAAAUGCAUAGAUAUUACGCAGAACUCCGAUUGCGAAGGCAGCUCACAAAGGUAUAUCUGACACUGAGGCACGAAAGCGUGGGGAGCAAACAGG
rnacentral:rRNA from 1 species